UCUGUUGUCCGGCGGCAUGGCGGCCAACGAGGUCGUGCCGCCAUCGGCCACCGCCUGCAAUCCCCAAGGUCCCACCGCCACACCGCCCACACGCCUCGUGCAAUGUUGAGUAGACAUCACGCUGUUAGCCACUGUGCCAUCGCCCUUCGCCCGCGACCUCGUUCCCAUCCUCUGAUCGUCGGGUGGGCGGCAAUCACCACCAAGUGAGUUCUGCAGUAGCUCCUCCCUCUCCAACCACCAACACCAUCCGCGCGCCGUGACCUGGGACCUCGAGUUCAUUUCCCUCGCGCCUUCGUCGACGCCCUCGUGCUGCCCGACACAACGCCGGUCCUGGGCAAUGGGCAUUGAUCCUUUGGGAGCGGAUCGAACAAGGCGCUGCCGUCCCGGAAGCAGCGCGCUCAGGCUGUUCGAUGAAAUGCCACCGUUUGAAUUGGAUUCCGUCACCCAAGUGGCUUCAUUGGACGACAAGGGCGGCCGUCCUGAGGUUCGUGCGGGGCUGGCGUGUUGAAAUCGAACAGGCCGAGGGACACUCCAAGCUUCCUGGUAUGCUGCAGGUGGAUACUGUGCGCUGCAAUGGAUUAGACAUCUUAUGCAUAGUUGCAUGCUUUGGGUUGUUGGAAUGCAUAGUCAUGUUAGCUUGUGAUCCUAAUCCUACACUGUUCUACACUAUGUUUUUUUAAAGAAACUGUUCUACACUCUGUUCAGCCAGUUUUUUUUUCUCGAAUACGCAAAAGUUUUUCAUAUCUUUGUAUUUAAGAAGAAGAUGUUUUACAACGCACACGGGCGCGCUACGGAUAAUAAAGUAUACAAAAGGUGCAGCCUUCCUAGCCUGAUUACACAUGGCGAUUACUCGCGGACUAACUCUCCUAGGUGGCGCGCUCCCGCCUCUAUCCAAAAGUCGGCGAUUUGCUUGAUCGUGGCGAGGAGUUACGCACUGGUGGCCACUUCGUUUCGGAAAUAGUCUUGGGUUCAGCCGUUUGAUCCCAAUUGACGAUCAGACAUCUUAUAAUGCUCUCAUUCUGAACCACAAAUUGUUUGCUUUUAGUCAUAUCCUACUCUUAAGCUCCAGUGCUUUGUGAAAUCUGUGAAUCAGAACCCAAAAACCUUUUUUUUUUGUGAUUACCCAAGAUCUGAGUAACAGCAGACAGCACUAGGAGCAUUACUGUCAGUACUUGGGUUAGUAAGGUACUCAAUGAGCUUGACAUUUUUUUUGUUUACUUCUUUCUUCACAAUGCUUGAGAAAACUAAACAGCAUACAUGUUACAUAUCACCUCAUGAUAAAGAAGGGAAUGGCGUAUGGUCCAGAUGGAUUCUUUACUCAAAGAAGUACACAGGUCUCAGUAUGUGCAAAAUUGUACAGGACACUAUAACACUAGUAGAACUCAAAAGUAGUACCUCUUGUUAAAGAUACAUGUACUCUAUGCAUGAAUUUACAAUAUUCUCACGUAUAACUGGCUAACUGUAUUGUCUUGACUGACUUUUGUGUCUGCAGGCCAACAUUGAUGCUUUCCAGGCGUGUAACUACUUCCAUGAUAUGUGGCCUCAUGCUAG
rnacentral:lncRNA from 1 species